CUGAUCUUAUAGGCAUAUUAUCUGAAAAACACAUUUGAAUUGAAAUAGACCGUAUAGGCAUGUUAUUUACCCGAUUUUACCCACAAUAUGCAAUUACCCACCCUUUUUCACUAAUCACCCUAAUAUUUGUUUACAAUAAUUAUUACAGACCAAGAACUGAAUAUAAAUUACAUAAAUAAAAUAGAAGCUGAGCUGUAGGGAGCCUGAAGCAAGCCCAAAACAGUCAUGAUGUACCAAGCCCUUACUGGUCUCAAAUGUCCAAAGUUCUAUAGCCCAAUUCAUGUCUAGGUGUGUCAUAAUUACCUAAGGACCUCAAGGAUCUCGAGAAGUGCUCACACCGAGCCUUUCCUCAAACAAAGACUGAUUAUGUGCAGUGUGGAAGUGCCAGCCCUGAUAUGACAGAGUUUAGAGAGAUCUCAAGGGUCUCAAAGCAGUACACAUAUCAAAGGGGAAGAACAUAGAAAUCUAAGAGUAAUGUGAGAGUGCAUAAUGAUUUGAAAGAGUUUGGUAAAUAGUAUAAAGAAGGUCUUAGGAAUGAAAAGAGUUUUCUGAAAACUUGUACUAGUCUGAGUGGAAAACAAUUUGAGAAAACAUGAAGAACAUUUUGAUAUCAGGGAGCAAGUCACAGAACACACAGUUUCAGAAAGUAUUUUGGGCAAACAGACUCUACAUAGAGGGAGAGAAGGAUUGGGGGGACCUAUAGAAUACAACCUAGUGUAUCAGCAAACAGAUAUGAAAAUGAGGUUGGGUAGUUGACAAAUUAGUUUCAAAGAUUACAAUAAAGACAUGUUGGUAACACAUAAGUCCUAGGUACUACCAAUACACAUGACUAGAAUACCAUUGAAAGGGCUAGAUGUCUUAGUAGGAUCUCAUUAGUGAGGUAAAGUAAGUAAGACUUAGAUGAACAAACUAGACAAACACUUCAUGCAACAUUCAAAGUUUUUAGAACUAGUAAUCACAUAUAGAACAAGUAGAAUUCAGGCAUGCUGGGUGAGACAGUAAACAAACAAUGUAGUUAGGACAUACUAGUGAACAGAUAGGAUUCAUGCGAUUGUCUAAAGUAGGAUUGGACAUGCUAAACAGUAUACUAGUUAUAGCUUUUAACAUAAUAAACUUAAACAUGAUGUGUGAUACAGUAAUCUAGGCAUGCUGAUUGCAUAUUGAAUAGAAUAGCAAAUAGAACUGGAAAUCACAACUAAUGAACUACAGUAACAAAGAAAACAUAUAGUUUGGGAAUGUGAAUUGAAUCAGGGCAUACUAGUUAAGGAGAGAAUAUAGAGUAUAGAACAGAGAUGGUGAAAAUAGCCGGCAUUGGAUUAGAGCCGGCUGGAUUAGUAAGAAUUACAAGCAACAUAAGAGAAUAGAGAGCUUUUGAGAGUGUGAGAGUGUAGAUGAACUAUUAUUCGUGUUUAAGAACCAGAAUGAGAGUGUAUAUAUAGCCCUUAGGGAGGUCAAAUAAAUAAGGUAAAAAUGAUCUAGGGUUCAUAAAUAAAGUAGGUAAAUAUAAUAAACAAGUUAAUUGGGGCUAAUCCCCAUUAAUUUGCACAAACAGAUCCGGGAAGAUCACAUUAGUACAAAGAGAAUCCAUUACCAAGCAUGAUUGGGGCUUAAGUAAGGUAACAAAAUCAUAAAUUGACCAUAAAUUAAUCAAUCAGUUGGCAUAAGGCGAAUAACACUAAUUACAAGCCACAAAUAAGGAAAGUGAGUAAAAACCCCAAAGAAUACUGACUUUAACGGAAAAAAUUAGUUCAAAUCCCUAAUAGAAAUCAAUUAAGCAAAAAAUCCCAAAGAAUUCUGGUUUUAGUAGAAAAACUGGUUCAAAUCCUUAGUAGAAAUCAAUCAGUGCAUUGAGUUGACAGAAAUAAACAAGUAAAGGAGAAAAAUUGGAGAAAAUCCGUGCAACAAACAGAAACUUCCAGGCUUUAUGUAUAUAGACGAGAAUCAGUCAAGAUGGUAAAGAAAUGAUUAUUUUAAACACUAAAAAGUUAGAAAAACCCAUUUUGAAAAACACUUAGGGGAACCCUAAUUUCAUAAGAAAGCAAAUGGAAUCGAAAUAGUUAAACAAAUUAGGAGAUCUUCAAGGGAAAAUGACAGAUAAUACUCGAACCCUUUUACAUCUACAAAGAUCUGAACGGAUUCGAGUGGUUGUAGAACUAGGAUUUUCAGAAACAACUAAGAUGAAAGAAACUUGAUUAGAAGCCAUAGAUUUGAACCUGAAACGGAAGGAAAUCAGCAGUCACAAACAAGGAUGGCUUUAGACAGGCAUGAAAACAAACUUCGGACGAAGGAACAGGUUGAAUCUCCUAGAGAUUCUUUAGGGAUCCAUGUAAUCAAUAACCAGAGGGUAUAGAAGGCCGGUAGUGGUCGGAGAAUACUCAGAAUCUCCAUAGACGAGGGUUUUUGCCGGUGACAGCAAUUAGGGUUAGGCUUAGGACUUGAGAGCUUUUGAGAGAAGAGAGGAACAGAUGACAGCAGUGAAAGGAGGAAAAUGAUUAGGGUUUGGGGGUAUAGGUUAGUUUAUUUUAGGUAAGGGCAGAUCUGGACCGUUGAUCAAAAUGAUC
rnacentral:lncRNA from 1 species